GGCUAAUACCGGAUGGUGUUGAACCGCAUGGUUCAACAUAAAAGGUGGCUUCGGCUACCAUUACAGAUGGACCCGCGGCGCAUUAGCUAGUUGGUGAGGUAACGGCUCACCAAGGCAACGAUGCGUAGCCGACCUGAGAGGGUGAUCGGCCACACUGGGACUGANACACGGCCCAGACUCCUACGGGAGGCAGCAGUAGGGAAUCUUCCGCAAUGGACGAAAGUCUGACGGAGCAACGCCGCGUGAGUGAUGAAGGUUUUCGGAUCGUAAAGCUCUGUUGUUAGGGAAGAACANNUGNCGUUCAAAUAGGGCGGCACCUUGNCGGUACCUAACCAGAANGCCACGGCUAACUACGUGCCAGCANCCGCGGUAAUACGUAGGUGGCAAGCGUUGUCCGNAAUUAUNGGGCGUAAAGGGCUCGNAGGCGGUUUCUUAANUCUGAUGUGAAAGCCCCCGGCUCACCGGGGAGGGUCAUUGGAAACUGGGGAACUUGAGUGCANAAAAGGAGAGUGGAANUUCCACGUGUAGCGNUGAAAUGCGUAGAGAUGUGGAGGAACACNAGUGGCGAAGGCGACUCUCUGGUCUGUAACUGACGCUGAGGAGCGAAAGCGUGGGGAGCGAACAGGAUUAGAUACCCGUGGUAGUCCACGCNCGUAAACGAUGAGUGCUAAGUGUUAGAGGGUUUCCNCCCUUUAGUGCUGCANCNUAACGCAAUUAAGCACUCCGCCUGGGGAGGUACGGAUCGCAAGGACUNAAACUCAAAGGAAUUGACGGGGGCCCGCACCAGCGGUGGAGCAUGUGGUUUAAUUNGAAGCAACGCGAAGAACCUUACCAGGUCUUGACAUCCUCUGACAAUCCUAGAGAUAGGANGUCCCCUUNGGGGGCAGAGUGACAGGUGGUGCAUGGUUGUNGUCAGCUCGUGUCGUGAGAUGUUGGGUUAAGUCCCGCAACGAGCGCAACCCUUGAUCUUAGUUGCCAGCAUUCAGUUGGGCACUCUAAGGUGACUGCCGGUGACAAACCGGAGGAAGGUGGGGAUGACGUCAAAUCAUCAUGCCCCUUAUGACCUGGGCUACACACGUGCUACAAUGGGCAGAACAAAGGGCAGCGAAACCGCGAGGUUAAGCCAAUCCCACAAAUCUGUUCUCAGUUCGGAUCGCAGUCUGCAACUCGACUGCGUGAAGCGGAAUCGCUAGUAAUCGCGGAUCAGCNAUGCCGCGGUGGAAUAGUUCCA
rnacentral:rRNA from 1 species